AGACCUGCCCCACCCAAGAUUAAGAAGCAGCAGGAAGAGCUUGAAGACCAGAUCGCCAGAAUUGGUUCAGGAAAGCAAGUUGCAAGUGUUAUUGUUGAUGAUGGCAAGGAUCAAGAUGACGAGGAUGAUACUUUUGUGGUUGAAGAUCCAAAUGCAAUUCAAAAUGAUGUAGACUUGGCUCCAGCAGGAGAAGUUGCAGAAGAUGAUGGCGAACAUGGUGGUCUUGUUAGGAAAAUUCUUGAAACAAAGAAAGAACUUGAAGGUGGUGGAAACC